rnacentral:RNase_P_RNA from 13 species
GAUUUUCCUUGAGGAAAGUCCGGGCUCCUCUAAAGAUCGCUGGCUAAUAGCCAGUACCACAUUAGUGGUGAGGCAAGUGCCACAGAAAUAAACCUCUGUUUAAUUAACAGAUAAGGGUGCAAAGGCUAUCUUAAGAAGCCAGGCUAUUGGGAGGGAUCCUUAGUCUCGGUAUACCCCGAUCAGGAGCAAGGCUA